rnacentral:rRNA from 1 species
CGCGAUGUGUGUGGNUGGGCUUCGUCCUCCUGGACACCCUCCAAAACCUAGUGGCUAAUACACGGACACCCGAAGGUCUGCUACGUGCAUGCGAGCUGCCGCCGUCGGCCUUGCGCCGCGGCGGGCAAUUCUCGGGCGGUGGAUCGCAACCAGCCGCCUGGUAAGACCAGCGCCUGGAAUUGAACGGCAGCGUGCUACGUGGCUGACUCAGGCUGGCCCAGCCCCCCUACCCUCAAAGCCGGGGGGGCUCUCCGAUGGUCACUGGCAGUGUCGAGUGGGCGUCAAACCCCACCAUGGCUGCAUGAUCGCACAGAGCUUCUGACCUAUCAGCUUCGUUGGUGGUGCAGCGGACCACCAUGGCGGUGACGGGUGACGGAGAAUCAGGGUUCGAUUCCGGAGAGGGAGCCUGAGAGACGGCUACCACUGCUAAGGCGGGCAGCAGGCACGCAAAUUGCCCCAUGCAGAUCCCCAUGUGAGGCAGCGACGAACCGCAGCAAUCCCGCCUGUCCUCAGUGACGAGCGGGACUUGCAAUGGAUGCAAUCCAAACACAGUGAUGAGUAUCAACUGGAGGCAGUCUGGUGCCAGCAGCUGCGGUAAUUCCAGCUCCAAGGGCGUAUACUAACAUUGCUGNUGUUAAAACGCUUGUAGUCCGAUGCUGGGUUGCAGGUCCGCUGGGUGGCAGUCUGGUGGUCGCACGGCCGCGCUCCGUCGAAGGGGGGCUGUGGGGAUGCGGGGAGGCCUCGGUCGCCCCCUUCCUCGCAUGCCACCCCUUCCCUGGGUCGCGUCGGGCGUCCCACCGGCUGGUACAACCCCCAGCGGUAUGACCCUGCGCCCGUCUUACUACGGCGGUGCGAACUGCUCCUGCUCCAAGCCUCCUUCAGUGGAGGUCGAUGCGGUUGUAUACCCAAGGCUUGUGUGUUGACAUUGCGAGGGGCGCGGCCCCGUGCCACGCAGACCAUGCCCUCGGUCCACCACCGGAGCCCACUGCCUCUGCCACCCUGGAAAACUCAGUGUGCCCAACGCAGCCCAAUCGCGGCUGAAUGUCCGUCCAUGGAAUGUCAAAGCAUCGACCGGAUGUUGGCUUAUGGAGUUGUGCUGGCCUUGGCGCCCAUCUCGGAGAGCGUGGCCCAGUCCCCGCCCCUGCGGAGGGCAUUGCUGCCGUCUGGCGGCGGUGUCCCACCCGUGAGGUCGGUGGGCUGUGUCGAUCGUCCACGAUGGGACAGCUCGGGGUGAAAGGUAUUGCAACGCCAGAGGUGAAAUUCUUAGACCGCUGCAAGACCACCGGCAGCGAAGGCGUUCUGCAAGUGCUCGUUCGUCGAUCAAGAAUGUGAGUGCGGGGAGCGAAGAUGAUCAGACACCGUCGUAGUCCGCUACUGUAAACGGUACCAGCUCGGUGCCGAUGGGGCAAGUACAACGGNNCCCACCGGCGCCAGCCCCCCUACAACGAGAAAUCCAAGCCCAUGGUCAAGGGAG